GUGGUGAGCUGCUACGUGACUGGCUGGCUGCGUAGGGGCUGGAACAAGUAAACGAGGCAGCGAGCGAAGGACGGGAGUCGGACCCUGGGCCCCGUGGAACUCCAGCCCACGCCACCACGUCACGCACACGCUCGGCGGUGCGAUCCGCGCUUAUAACGAUAUUUGUGUGUGACCUGUGUUUUAGAAUUUAUCUACACUUAAAAUGCCACCAGCAGUUGGAGGUCCAGUUGGAUACACCCCCCCAGAUGGAGGCGGGGGCUGGGCAGUGGUCAUUGGAGCUUUCAUUUCCAUCGGCUUCUCUUAUGCAUUUCCCAAAUCUAUUACUGUCUUCUUCAAAGAGAUUGAAAGUAUAUUCCAUGCCACCACCAGUGAAGUGUCGUGGAUAUCCUCCAUAAUGUUGGCUGUCAUGUAUGGUGGAGGUCCUAUCAGCAGUAUCCUGGUGAAUAAAUAUGGAAGUCGUAUAGUCAUGAUUAUUGGUGGCUGCUUGUCAGGCUGUGGCUUGAUUGCAGCUUCUUCCUGUAACACUCUACAGGAACUAUACUUCUGUAUUGGAUUCGUUGGAGGUCUUGGGCUUGCCUUCAACUUGAAUCCAGCUCUGACCAUGAUUGGCAAGUAUUUCUACAAAAGGAGACCAUUGGCCAACGGACUGGCCAUGGCAGGCAGCCCUGUGUUCCUCUGUACUCUGGCCCCCCUCAAUCAGGUUUUCUUUGGUAUCUUUGGAUGGAGAGGAAGCUUUCUAAUUCUUGGAGGCUUGCUACUAAACUGCUGUGUCGCUGGAGCCCUCAUGCGACCAAUCGGGCCCAAACCAACCAAGGCAGGGAAAGAUAAGUCUAAAGCAUCCCUUCAGAAAGCUGGAAAAUCUGGUGUAAAAAAAGAUCUGCAUGAUGCAAAUACGGAUCUUAUUGGAAGACACCCUAAACGGGAGAAACGAUCAGUCUUCCAAACAAUCAGUUCCUGUACUUAACCCUGUUCACCCACAGAGGCUUUUUGCCAUACCUCUCUGGAAAUGUGAUCAUGUUUUUUGGACUCUUUGCACCUUUAGGGUUUCUUAGUGGUUACGGGAAGAGUCAGCAUUAUUCUAGUGAGAAGUCUGCCUUCCUUCUUUCCAUUCUGGCUUUUGUUGACAUGGUAGCCAGACCAUCUAUGGGACUUGUAGCCAACACAAAGCCAAUAAGACCUCGAAUUCAGUAUUUCUUUGCGGCUUCUAUUGUUGCAAAUGGAGUGUGUCAUAUGCUAGCACCUUUAUCCACUACCUAUGUUGGAUUCUGUGUCUAUGCGGGAUUCUUUGGAUUUGCCUUUGGGUGGCUCAGCGCCGUAUUGUUUGAAACGCUGAUGGACCUUGUUGGACCCCAGAGGUUCUCCAGCGCUGUGGGAUUGGUGACCACUGUGGAAUGCUGUCCUGUCCUCCUGGGGCCACCACUUUUAGGUCGGCUCAAUGACAUAUAUGGAGACUACAAAUACACAUACUGGACAUGUGGCGUCGUCCUGAUUAUUUCCGGUAUCUAUCUCUUCAUUGGCAUGGGCAUCAAUUAUCGACUUUUGGCAAAAGAACAGAAAGCAAACGAGCAGAGAAAGGAAAGUAAAGAGGAAGAGACCAGUAUAGGUGUUGCUGGAAAGCCAAAGGAAGUUACCAAAGCAGCAGAAUCUCUGGACCAGAAAGACACAGAAGAAGGGUCCAAGGAGGAGGACAGUCCAGUCUGA